GGGGCUGUCCUGGUUUCGACGUGGGUACGGAUCUGGAGUGGUGCAUGCCGAGCUUGAGUCACGCUCGUAAAUCUCGAUUCACUAAACUAACUGCAAACGACGAUCGUUUCGCACUCGCCGCCUAAAUCCGGCGAGACUUGCAACAGCACGCUGAUGGGCUGGGCCAAUACCGCAAGGUAGAAGCUGCAAGUUAAUUCACAUCAGCUAGCUGGCAGCCGGGUGCCUUGGCCGCUGGCGAAAUCCAAGGGCACUGGCCUGAAGCGCAGCGUGCGGCUGCGCGGCGCCUCAGGCGAGAUCAAACCAGACCGCUAAGCAUGUAGAGCUGCCCGGCAAAGGCUUGCGGACGCGGGUUCAAUUCCCGCCAGCUCCACCA
rnacentral:tmRNA from 2 species